rnacentral:rRNA from 1 species
GACGAACGCUGGCGGCGUGCCUAAUACAUGCAAGUCGAGCGGACUUUCAAGAAGCUUGCUUUUUGAAAGUUAGCGGCGGACGGGUGAGUAACACGUGGGCAACCUGCCUGCAAGACGGGGAUAACUCCGGGAAACCGGGGCUAAUACCGGAUAAUAUCUUCCUUCGCAUGAAGGAAGGUUGAAAGGCGGCGCAAGCUGCCGCUUGCAGAUGGGCCCGCGGCGCAUUAGCUAGUUGGUGAGGUAACGGCUCACCAAGGCGACGAUGCGUAGCCGACCUGAGAGGGUGAUCGGCCCACCUGGGACUGAGACACGGCCCAGACUCCUACGGGAGGCAGCAGUAGGGAAUCUUCCGCAAUGGACGAAAGUCUGACGGAGCAACGCCGCGUGAGCGAAGAAGGUCUUCGGAUCGUAAAGCUCUGUUGUCAGGGAAGAACAAGUACCGUUCGAACAGGGCGGUACCUUGACGGUACCUGACCAGAAAGCCACGGCUAACUACGUG